AAAUUUGCAAAAGUUGGGAGCAACUUCACUCAUAGGCACAUUGUGGAAGGUGACACACUGACAAUUGAACAAACAGUUGUCCAAGAUCGUGGUCACUACAUCUGCUUGGCAGAAAACAGAGAAGGCAUAGCUCGAGCCACUGCUGUGCUGGAAGUGGAUCGGCGGGAGGUUCCACUUGUGGAGAUCUACCCCAAGAACAUACCUCCACUUCACCAUGGAGACACUGCAUUUCUGCAGUGCAGACCCACAGCUGGGAUACCAACACCGACAGUGGAAUGGACGCGGGCUGACGGCAGUCCUUUCACUCCCAGCACCGAAUUGACUGGUCCUGGAAUAAUUCGAUUUACUAGAUUCUCCAAGGAUGAAGAAGGAACAUAUGUUUGUUCUGCUGAGAAUGCAAUGGGCAAG